rnacentral:rRNA from 1 species
UACGUAGGGGGCGAGCGUUGUCCGAAUUUACUGGGCGUAAAGCGCGCGUAGGCGGUCUCUUAAGUCUGGGGUGAAAGGUUCAACGCUCAACGUGAACAGUGCCUUGGAUACUGGGGGACUUGAGUCUGGGAGGGGGCAGUGGAAUUCCUGGUGUAGCGGUGAAAUGCGCAGAUAUCAGGAAGAACACCCGUGGCGAAGGCGGUUCUCUGGGACGGUACUGACGCUGAGACGCGAAAGCGUGGGGAGCGAACAGG